UGGUAAAACCCACAUCCCAAAUCAAUUUCAGUUUAUUCUAAAUCAGAAACCCUAAAAUUCUUCCACAAUUUCCUUUCAAUUUUUGCAACCCUAGCCACCACAAUCUCCAACCUUAGCCUGUCCCCAUGGUGACCACCACAGCCGCACCAAUUUGCCACCAUCUAACUCUAUUAUCUGGUGGUUAAGAGAUACUAGUAGGUUAUUGUAACCAUAACUCGUCCCUCCUGCGCGAUCCCAGUGGCAUCCGCCGGCUUAUCCAAAUUCCCUUCAUUUUCACAGCUAUUGCAUACCUCAAUUGCUGGUAACUUUUGAAGGAGGAUGUGAUUUGGUAUUGUAGAUGAGAUGGACUGUAUAAAAACGGAAUGGUGAACUUCAAGGAAUUUCUGUUUGCAUUCACUACAGAGCUGCAUAUAUCUCAAGGUACAAUUGGUUUGGCUACGGAUGAAUAUCUGUUUGGUGUUGUUCUUGGAGGAGUUGUGUAAGUGGCCUCGUGAUUGUGUUCCUUAUUUUGAGGUGAUGUGCAUAUUACACACAGCUGUGGCUUCAUCACCACUGUCAAGGCCGGUUGGUUGGACGGGGAACAUGUUGUAUUGGGUAAGGUCAUUCAAGGCAUGGACACUGUGUUUGCAUUAUGCAACUGAAGGCGGAGCUGGAACAUACAGCGGAAAACCAAGAAGAAAGGUCACAAUUGCUAACUCGGGAGAGAAAUCCAAGAGCAAGUGGGAUGAGGAAAGAUAAGCCUCCUUCGGACAGUUUUAGAUAAUUGAUUCACCUUUUUUUUCUCAUUGUAUUAUGUUCUUGAAAUUUACUAAAAUCUUGACUAAGAUCCAACAGUCAUAGGUGCCUCUCGGAAAUACUUUAUUUGGCCUUUUGCAUCCAAUAAUUGUUCUUAUUCUAUGCAAUGAGCUUGACUAAGCUUAGUUAUUGCUUUUCUUCUCUGGUUGCACUUGUUUUUGGUGGUGAUGUUGAGGGGAGUUUGCUGGAAGUUUGGUGGUGUGCUGCUGGGGCUUUUUCUGUAGAUUUUUGUUGCUGCAGUGUUGCAUUUGUGCUGGAAAAUUAUGG